rnacentral:rRNA from 1 species
GACGAACGCUGGCGGCGUGCUUAACACAUGCAAGUCGAACGGAAAGGCCCUGCUUUUGUGGGGUGCUCGAGUGGCGAACGGGUGAGUAACACGUGAGUAACCUGCCCUUGACUUUGGGAUAACUUCAGGAAACUGGGGCUAAUACCGGAUAGGAGCUCCUGCUGCAUGGUGGGGGUUGGAAAGUUUCGGCGGUUGGGGAUGGACUCGCGGCUUAUCAGCUUGUUGGUGGGGUAGUGGCUUACCAAGGCUUUGACGGGUAGCCGGCCUGAGAGGGUGACCGGACAGAGUGGGACUGAGAGACGGCCGAGACUACUACGGGAGGCAGCGGUGGGGAGUAUUGCGCAAUGGGCGGAAGCCUGAUGCAGCUACGCCGCGUGCGGGAUGACGGCCUUCGGGUUGUAAACCGCUUUCGCCUGUGACGAAGCGUGAGUGACGGUAAUGGGUAAAGAAGCACCGCCUAACUACGUG